rnacentral:rRNA from 1 species
UACAGAGGUCUCAAGCGUUGUUCGGAUUCAUUGGGCGUAAAGGGUGCGUAGGUGGCGCCGUAAGUCGGGUGUGAAAUUUCGGAGCUUAACUCCGAAACUGCAUUCGAUACUGCGGUGCUUUGAGGACUGGAGAGGAGACUGGAAUUCAUGGUGUAGCAGUGAAAAUGCGUAGAGAUCAUGAGGAAGACCAGUGGCGAAGGCGGGGUCUCUGGACAGUUCCUGACACUGAGGCACGAAAGGCCAGGGGGAGCAAAACGGGG